rnacentral:rRNA from 1 species
GAUGAACGCUGGCGGCGUGCCUAAUACAUGCAAGUCGAGCGAACGGACGAGAAGCUUGCCUCUCUGAUGUUAGCGGCGGACGGGUGAGUAACACGUGGAUAACCUACCUAUAAGACUGGGAUAACUUCGGGAAACCGUAGCUAAUACCGGAUAAUAUUUUGAACCGCAUGGUUCAAAAGUGAAAGACGGUCUUGCUGUCACUUAUAGAUGGAUCCGCGCUGCAUUAGCUAGUUGGUAAGGUAACGGCUUACCAAGGCAACGAUGCAUAGCCGACCUGAGAGGGGGAGAGGCCACACUGGAAAUGAGACACGGGCCAGACUCCUACGGGAGGCAGAAGUAGGGAAUCUUCCGCAAUGGGCGAGAGACUGACGGAGAAAAGCCGCGUGAGUGAUGAAGGGCUUCGGAUCGUAAAAAUCUGUUAUAAGAGAAGAACAUAUAUGUAAAUAAAUGUGCACAUCUUGAGGGUACAUAAUCAGAGAGACACGGCUAAAUACGUG